CUGAUGGUGGCGCAAGGGUGGAACUCGGAGUCGAGUGCCCGGUGCCCCUCCUCACCAAGAAAACGGUGAGACGAGGGCAGCGCCUGAACGUCAG
ncrna:unclassified sequences L4-Archaeoglobi ribosomal protein leader